rnacentral:tRNA from 1 species
AUUACUUUGGCAGAUUAGUGCCAUGAAUUUAGAAUUCAUUCAUGUAUAUUUAUACAAGUAAUA